rnacentral:rRNA from 1 species
GGAGUUUGGACCGUGUCUCAGUUCCAAUGUGGGGGACCUUCCUCUCAGAACCCCUACUGAUCGUUGACUAGGUGGGCCGUUACCCCGCCUACUAUCUAAUCGGACGCAUCCCCAUCCAUGGCCGGUAAACCUUUAGUCCUCGUUAGAUGUCUGCAAAGGACCCCAUAGGGCAUUAAUCCGCUUUUCAACGGGCUAUUCCCUAGCCAUGGGCAGGUUGGAUACGCGUUACUCACCCGUGCGCCGGUCGCCAUCAGAGUUUGCAAGCAAACCCUAUGCUGCCCCUCGACUUGCAUGUGUUAAGCCUGUAGCUAGCGUUCAUC